rnacentral:rRNA from 1 species
UAUUGCACAAUGGGGGAAACCCUGAUGCAGUGACGCCGCGUAUAGGAAGAAGGUUUUCGGAUUGUAAACUAUUGUCGUGAGGGAAGAAAUUGACAGUACCUCAGGAGGAAGCUCCGUCUAACUAUGUGCCAGCAGCCGCGGUAAUACGUAGGGGGCAAGCGUUAUCCGGAUUUACUGGGUGUAAAGGGAGCGUAGACGGUUAUGCAAGUCUGGAGUGAAAGCCCGGGGCUCAACCCCGGGACUGCUUUGGAAACUGUAAAACUGGAGUGCAGGAGAGGCAGGCGGAAUUCCUAGUGUAGCGGUGAAAUGCGUAGAUAUUAGGAGGAACACCAGUGGCGAAGGCGGCCUGCUGGACUGUAACUGACGUUGAGGCUCGAAGGCGUGGGGAGCAAACAGG